rnacentral:rRNA from 1 species
UACGUAGGGUGCAAGCGUUAAUCGGAAUUACUGGGCGUAAAGCGUGCGCAGGCGGCUUUGCAAGACAGAUGUGAAAUCCCCGGGCUUAACCUGGGAACUGCAUUUGUGACUGCAUGGCUGGAGUGCGGCAGAGGGGGAUGGAAUUCCGGCGUGUAGCAGUGAAAUGCGUAGAUAUGCGGAGGAACACCGAUGGCGAAGGCAAUCCCCUGGGCCUGCACUGACGCUCAUGCACGAAAGCGUGGGGAGCGAAACAAGG